CCUACGGGAGGCAGCAGUGGGGAAUAUUGGACAAUGGGCGAAAGCCUGAUCCAGCCAUGCCGCGUGUGUGAAGAAGGCCUUCGGGUUGUAAAGCACUUUCAGUGGGGAAGAAAGCCUUGGGGCUAAUACCCUCGAGGAAGGACAUCACCCACAGAAGAAGCACCGGCUAACUCCGUGCCAGCAGCCGCGGUAAUACGGAGGGUGCGAGCGUUAAUCGGAAUUACUGGGCGUAAAGCGCGCGUAGGCGGUCUGAUAAGCCGGUUGUGAAAGCCCCGGGCUCAACCUGGGAACGGCAUCCGGAACUGUCAGGCUAGAGUGCAGGAGAGGAAGGUAGAAUUCCCGGUGUAGCGGUGAAAUGCGUAGAGAUCGGGAGGAAUACCAGUGGCGAAGGCGGCCUUCUGGACUGACACUGACGGUGAGGUGCGAAAGCGUGGGUAGCAAACAGGAUUAGAUACCCGAGUAGUC
rnacentral:rRNA from 1 species